GACGGGGAGCACCACAACGGGUGGAGCUUGCGGUUUAAUUGGAUCAACGCCGGAAAUCUUACCGGGACCGACAGCAAUAUGAAGGCCAGGCUGAAGACUUUGCCGGAUUAGCUGAGAGGUGGUGCAUGGCCGUCGUCAGUUCGUACUGUGAAGCAUCCUGUUAAGUCAGGCAACGAGCGAGACCCACGCCCACAGUUGCCAGCGUACUCUCUGGAGUGACGGGUACACUGUGGGGACCGCCGCUGCUAAAGCGGAGGAAGGAAUGGGCAACGGUAGGUCAGUAUGCCCCGAAUAUCCCGGGCUACACGCGAGCUACAAUGGUUGGUACAAUGGGUAUCUACCCCGAAAGGGGACGGGAAUCUCCUAAAACCAAUCUUAGUUCGGAUUGAGGGCUGCAACUCGCCCUCAUGAAGCUGGAAUCCGUAGUAAUCGCGUUUCAACAGAACGCGGUGAAUACGUCCCUGCUCCUU
rnacentral:rRNA from 1 species